AUGUCAUCGGCGGCGAACUGCGAGCGCCCGCCGGCCAACGCUUCCUCCGCUGCCGGUAGACUCAAGGACGAGUCCCCGUGGGCUUCUCUCCCUGCAGAUUUGGCCCGGCUUGUGGGCUGGCGGGUGUUGGCCGGAGACCUCCUCGACUACGUCCGGUUCCGCGCCGUCUGCUCUGACUGGCGUUCCGCCACGGUCUCCCCGCACGGCCAUGGCAUCACUGAUCCGCGGUUUCAUCCCCGCCGGUGGAUGCUGCUGCCCGAGGGCCACGGCCUCCACCCUGCGGGAAAGAAACGCUUCUUCAACCUCUCUACCGGAGUCUUCGUGCGCCACCGACUUCCUCUGCUCAUGGACCACCUUGUUCUCUGCCCCGUGGAAGGGCUUCUCCUAUUGCAGCAGGGGCAACACGGCCAUGGGAAUACUCUCCUUCUCCUCCACCCUUUCACCGGCGAUGCUGCGGAGCUGCCGGUAGCUGAUCUUAUCCAAGGAAGUGUUGUCCCACUGACUAGCAUCCAAGGCAAUGCUCUUUUGGUUAGGUUUGGAUGGAGCUUGAGUGUUAGCUUCAAGGCAAUGCCUACUGUUGUUGGCGACACAAUUGUGGGCAUGUACCACGAUGGUAAACAUAUUACGUACUACGACCUCCAUAGUGGCACUUGGUCAGCAACACCGGCAAGGCUUGUAAUGCAUGAUGGUGGCAUGAAGUGUACUUGUAGCCUUAUUGACCAUAUGUAUAAUGUCUGCCAUUGUGAUACUACCUGGUAUGAACACAUGAGAUAUAAUCUUCUUUUCAUAGGCCCGGUCUAUGGAGAUUGA
rnacentral:rRNA from 1 species